GGAUUCUAGAAGCAAGAAGAUAUGUAGAAAGGAGAAAUCAACUGGUUGUUUUCCAAGGAAUGAUGCUGUGGUUCUUUCUAAGUGUUCAUCAAUCAAGGCAGCUGGUGGCAUGAAGAUUGACUACAAGACCUCAGAAACCUGCUCUUCAGAUAAAGACUCUGACCAGGCUUUCUCAGCAUAGUCAAGUCAACAAGCAUUAUUAAGC
rnacentral:lncRNA from 1 species